UUAAACCCUGAUUAUCUCCCCUCCCCUCCUGCUUUUUCUGUGCAGUUCUUCGGAGCUGGUUAGUAGGACGGGUGGCACUUCUGGCAUCUAGUGACUUCUGUGAUAAAGUUGUAGAACUUUUUUAAACUGAAGCAAAUUUAUGGAUCAAUAAAGGUGCAGCACAGCAACUGCAAGGAAUAUUUUGGGUGCCUUUGUAAUUGACACAGAACUGAGAGGUCUUGACAGUUUCUACAGCUCAGAGACUGGUCCCCCUCCUAAGAAAAAGGAAAUGGAGGGGAAUUCAGCAGAAAACAGCUGUGUUGAAGAGAAACCAGCACCGUCCGUUGCCAAACUUGCAGGAAUUUUUGGUGACCAAAAAAACUGCACGAAAAACCAGACCCCACCUUAUAAACCAACUAGACGGAAACCACCUUGCUCAUUGCCUCUCCAUGCACACAAGCCUGAAGUUACUCACCAAGAUGACGGGAAAGUGUCUCCACAAGUCCCACAGCUGCCAAAGGUGAAGGUGAAAAGUUCUCCUCUAAUUGAAAAACUCCAGGCCAACUUGGUAUUUCCACCUGCAGCUUUACUCCCAGGUGGGUCCCCAAAGAGCCCUGGACUGAAAGUUAUGGCCUCUCCAUUUAACAGUCCUCCUUCCACACCCAACAGCCCCGGCAUCCAAUCCCGAUCUAGUGAAUCAGAUGAAGUGCCCACCAGCUUUGAACAACCACCAGAGGGCGCUCCCCUCACAAGCUACACUAAGGUCCGCACAAAAGGCUCCAUAAAGCGUAGGCCUCCAAGCCGGAGGUUUAGGAAAUCCCAGUCUGACAUUGGAUAUGAGGAUGAUGUAGGGUUUAUUAUUAGACCGAAUGAAAAUGGGGAAACGGCUGAAGAGGGGGAUGACAUAUUUCAAUCCAAAGAAAAGGAAAAGAUCCAAAAACCUGAAUCAACAGAGAAGACAAACAAAACCCCAUUGGAAUCUACUGAGAGGUCAUUGGAAAGUGCCAGAAAUGAUGAAGAAAAGUCCAAUGAGAAGGACAGUUUAAAGGAGAUCUCAAAUGACAGUAACAUUAUUAAGGACAAGGUGGAAGGUCCAGGCUGUGAACUAAAAGAGGAGAAGGAUAAACAAAAGGGUGACUUGACUUCUGGUGAAAGAGACACUCAGGAAGAGACACACGAGCUGAAUGUUACAAUAAACACAGAAACAGCCAAUACAAAGCAGAGUGAAUUACCGGACAGGGAGGUGAACAAUGAACAAGAUGAAUGUGGGGAGGUGAGUAUGUGCUGACAUUAUCUCACCCUUACAAUAUGAUAUGAAUUCAAUAAAGAUCUUUUUGCUCAACAAAAGCCCAGAAUCCAGAGGACUACAGGUUCUUUAUAGAAUCUCAACAAAAGCUCAGAAUACAGACGACUACAGGUUCUUUAUAGAAUCUCAACAAAAGCCCAGAAUACAGACGACUACAGGUUCUUUAUAGAAUCUCAACAAAAGCCCAGAAUACAGACGACUACAGGUUCUUUAUAGAAUCUCAACAAAAGCCCAGAAUACAGACGACUACAGGUUCUUUAUAGAAUCUCAACAAAAGCCCAGAAUACAGACGACUACAGGUUCUUUAUAGAAUCUCAACAAAAACCCAGAAUACAGACGACUACAGGUUCUUUAUAGAAUCUCAACAAAAACCCAGAAUACAGACGACUACAUGUUCUUUAUAGAAUCUCAACAAAAGCCCAGAAUACAGACGACUACAGGUUCUUUAUAGAAUCUCAAUAAAAACCCAGAAUACAGACGACUACAGGUUCUUUAUAGAAUCUCAACAAAAGCCCAGAAUACAGACGACUACAGGUUCUUUAUAGAAUCUCAACAAAAGCCCAGAAUACAGACGACUACAGGUUCUUUAUAGAAUCUCAACAAAAGCCCAGAAUACAGACGACUAUAGAAUCUCAACAAAAUCCAGGAAGUUGUCAGGUGUGGGGUUGCAGCAUGUUUUGGCCUAGUACAGCUGAAGCUUCUUAGUCAACUCAAGACUUCUCUAAUCAGAUACUGCCCCUCCAGACUCUUAACAGCAUGAGAUGUAAAGAGAAUAAUACACUGGGUACUAACUUUAUUGGGCUUGAUUACAAGUGGAGCACAACAAUGUUAGCUGUAUUGAGACUUAAUACAGCACACGUUAAGUCAAUACCACUCCGAUUAUUGUGCUUAUAUUACAAAUUAAAAGUUUUUUCUUAAGCAAAAACCUCAAAUGCGCAAACAUCUGGAAGUUGGAUAGCACGGUCAUGCUUACUCUCACUCUCCAUAGACUUCUAUAUGGAGUGCUACAAAGCCCUGUGCUAGCGAACCCGAAGUUGCACUAAGCCAAGUGCGCUAAAGAUGAAGGAUAAAACUGAUGCAGAAAAGUGAAUCCAAAGUAGCCAACAAGGAGAACAAUGCUAAUUUAUGAAAACAGCUGGAAUGGACAUUUAGCUGAAGUAUUUACUGAUCUUGAAACUUCUAGUAGGGUCAGAGUCACUAGGAACAGAGUCUUCCUCGUUGUAGGACAGAAGUUCUAACUAAGUGUGGACCAUCUCAAUGUCGGGGGGUGUGGAUGUGUCAUAUCCAUAUGUAUAAGGCUUAAUGAGUACAAAAGAGAAUAUACAGACUAGUGCAGGCCAUAUAAACUGCAUCAACCCUGGUAGUUAACCCUUUGUCUGCCUUAUUGCAGCCUUCAAACAAGUUGAAGAAGGUAAAUACUGAAAUGGACCAACCUAAAACCGGGGGCCACAGUGCAGCCUUCCAAUGCAUUUUAUCUGUCCCUCCACUUAUCCUGUCGGAAUAAUGCAGGUGUCUGAACCAGGGAGGAAUAUUCAGUCAUUUCAUCUUAUAUUAUUAAUAAUCUUCUCAAAGCAACACGGUUGAAGAAACUGGAGAUCAGAUCUGUAUUACUGUCCUUCACUCUAUAAUGCAGACAACUCUUCUCAUUUGUGCAAACAAAAACAAUCACAUCUAUUUCGCUAAUCAAUGCUUAUGUGAAGUGUGUGUAUGUGUGAUCAAAAACUAAUAUAAAAUGUAUUCUCAUCCCCAAACGAAAAAACAAUAUGGCUCCUGCCUUAGGCAAUGCAAAGCUUCCUAUUCAGAUAGAGCAUACAUUUUUCUGAUUUACUUCUUUUUAAAAUUUGCUCCUUGGUGAUUCGAACUGAAAGCAAACUCUAAAAAACAAAACAAAGCUAAGGGCGCUUCCUAGUGCAGACAUCUGUGACAGACCCUCUUGUUAUAAAUGUAGAGAUAAAGUAUACUCACAAGCAUAUUAAACAUGUGCUAAAUGGACAUGCUAGGAUAUUUUAGUGGCCCAACUCAUGAAUCCCUGGCAACCUCUUCACAGUAGGACUUGACGGGUAUUGAAGAUUCCAAAAAGUUUAUCCAAUCCGAAUUUUAAUAAAAAAAUAUAAUUAAAAACAAAGAUAAUAACAAUAUUAGGGUAUGGCUAUAACAAAUGCACAAAUGCCACUACUGAGUUACCAAUGAGGGGCUCUGUUGAUUAAGUCCACUAUUGCGAUCAGGGUAGCACGCGAGUAGGGUGUUAGGUUUAUUUGCCAUUUUUUUUCUAUUGGGGAAUACGUUAAUGCGCGCUCAAUAUUCUAAAUUCGGCUUUUCGCACUCAUCGGAUUAGUGCGCUAGUGAAAACUUUUUACUUUCAACUUGUAAUAUGCGUGCUACCCGACGCGCGCAAAAAGCUUCUAGCACAGUUAGCACGCAAGCGGGAGAGCUAAAUAGUGCUCCACUCGCAAUCAAGCCCAUAAGUGUGUAUGUCAAACCAUGUUAAAGCAUAAAUAUUUUUAAAGCUUAUUAGCCUAGUUCUGUAUGUUCAGCCGCAUCAUAAGUUAUAAUGUGCAUCAACUGUAUUGCUCCAAGAUGUAUCAUAUUUAGUAAAUGUGCAUGUCCUUGCAAUGGGUUUCGAUCUAGCCUAUCUGCUUAUUAAAAAGGCACAUCUGAAGAGACUAUAAUAUUUUCAUGUAUUAAAUAAAAAGUGUUAAAUAAAA